GACGUAGGGCGCGAGCGUUGUCCGGAUUUAUUGGGCGUAAAGAGCUCGUAGGCGGCUUGUCGCGUCGACUGUGAAAUCCCGCGGCUCAACUGCGGGUCUGCAGUCGAUACGGGCAGGCUAGAGUUCGGUAGGGGAGACUGGAAUUCCUGGUGUAGCGGUGAAAUGACGCAGAUAUCAGGAGGAACACCGGUGGCGAAGGCGGGUCUCUGGGCCGAUACUGACGCUGAUGCGCGAAAGCUAGGGGAGCGAACGGG
rnacentral:rRNA from 1 species